CCACCUGCUAAUCAUGAUGCGUGGGACAGAAAAGAUCCUACUUUUGGUAAUAGCAUGUGCCAUAGUUUUUCUGCAACGACCAGUGAUGGGGAAAUUUCCGACAUGUACCGCCACACAGAAGAGAGAGAUUCUGGCGCGAUGUAGAUUAUUCAUUAAGCACUUAGAGGCCAGCGUUGACGUAAACAGUCCCUGCUGUGAUGCAGUGAGAAUGGUGCCAAAUAGGAACAUGCUCUGUGUCAUCUCCCUACUUACACCUCUUGAGAAGAAGGGGUUCAACCAAAAGAGAAUCAUGUCUCUUCAAAACCUCUGCAAACCUCGUCCUGAUGAGGUAAGAAACGUCAGUUGCUGAUCCAUUCUAUGCUAAUAUAUAAAUCAAAAGUGUCGUGUUAAGCGAAUAUUAAAUUUUAUUCUUGUUCUACGUUCCAGACCAUGGUGUAAACUGCAGGCAGAGCGCCAGACAAGAUCGACUGGAUAGUCAAUAAAACCUGUAAAAUUUAUGUUGUCAUAGAAUAUAAAUCGAGAAAGAGAUCAG
rnacentral:lncRNA from 1 species